rnacentral:rRNA from 1 species
CCCUGCCCUUUGUACACACCGCCCGUCGCUCCUACCGAUUGAAUGGUCCGGUGAAGUGUUCGGAUCGCGGCGACGUGGGCGGUCUGCUGCCCGCGACGUCGCGAGAAGUCCACUGAACCUUAUCAUUUAGAGGA